AGUUGAUUAAUGAAAAAAAUAAUAUUUCNNAGCUUUACGUGGGGAGAUUAAGAAGAGAGAAGAGUUGAGCCAAACU
rnacentral:tRNA from 1 species